UACGUAGGCAGCAAGCGUUGUUCGGAGUUACUGGGCGUAAAGGGUGUGUAGGCGGUUGGAUAAGUGUGGUGUGAAAUCUCCCGGCUCAACUGGGAGGGUGCGCUACAAACUGUCUGACUAGAGUGUGGGAUGGGUAAGUGGAAUUCCCAGUGUAGAGGUGAAAUUCGUAGAUAUUGGGAAGAACACCGGUGGCGAAGGCGGCUAUCUGGCCCGUAAUUGACGCUGAGGCACGAAAGCGUGGGGAGCAAACAGG
rnacentral:rRNA from 1 species